AGAGUUUGAUCCUGGCUCAGGACGAACGCUGGCGGCGUGCCUAACACAUGCAAGUCGAACGGAGUCAAGAAGCUUGCUUUUUGACUUAGUGGCGGACGGGUGAGUAACGCGUGAGUAACCUGCCUCUGAGAGGGGAAUAACGUUCUGAAAAGAACGCUAAUACCGCAUAACGUAUCGAAGCCGCAUGACUUUGAUACCAAAGAUUUUAUCGCUCGGAGAUGGACUCGCGUCCGAUUAGUUAGUUGGUGAGGUAACGGCUCACCAAGACCGCGAUCGGUAGCCGGACUGAGAGGUUGAUCGGCCACAUUGGGACUGAGACACGGCCCAGACUCCUACGGGAGGCAGCAGUGGGGGAUAUUGCGCAAUGGGGGCAACCCUGACGCAGCAACGCCGCGUGAAGGAUGAAGGUUUUCGGAUUGUAAACUUCUUUUAUCAGGGACGAAACUUGACGGUACCUGAUGAAUAAGCUCCGGCUAACUACGUGCCAGCAGCCGCGGUAAUACGUAGGGAGCAAGCGUUGUCCGGAUUUACUGGGUGUAAAGGGUGCGUAGGCGGCCGAGUAAGUCAGAUGUGAAAUCUAUGGGCUCAACCCAUAAACUGCAUUUGAAACUACCCGGCUUGAGUGAAGUAGAGGCAGGCGGAAUUCCCUGUGUACCGGUGAAAUGCGUANAGAUAGGGAGGAACACCAGUGGCGAAGGCGGCCUGCCGGGCUUUAACUGACGCUGAGGCACGANAGCGUGGGUAGCAGACAGGAUUAGAUACACUGGUAGUGCACGCUGUAAAAGACGAUUAAUAGGUGUGGGGGGAAUGACCCAUUCCGAGCCGGAGUUAACACAAUAAGUAAUCCACAUGGGGAGUACGGCGGCAAGGUGAGACUCAAAGGAAUUGACGGGGGCCCGCACAAGCAGUGGAGUAUGUGGUAUUAUUCGAAGCAACGCGAAGAACGUUACCAGUUCUAGACAUCCGAAUAACGAAGCAGAGAUACAUUAGGUGCCGUUCGGGGAUAAUGGAGACAGCCGGUGCAUGAUAUUCGUCAGCUCGGCUUGUGAGAGGAGUGGGGAAGUCCUGUCAGGAGCGAUACCCUUGAUAUUAGUUGCUAUGCGAGAGCAGUUUAAUAUGAUGGCGAUCGACUACAUGGAGGAAGGUGGGGUCGAAGUCGAAUCAAUAUGCGCCUUAUGACAUGGGUGACACACGUAUUACAAUGGCCAUAUACAGAGGGAAGCAAUAGCAGUGAUGUGGAGCAAACACUUACAUAUGAUAUCAGCUCAAAUUACAGGUUACUAACCGCUUGCACGAAGUAGGAAUAGAGUAGUGAAUCGCGAAUCAGCAUGACUCGGAGAAUAUGGUCACGGGCCUAGUACACGUCGCGAGUCAGGGCGAAUUUGUUGAACAAUGUCAGGGCGGUCCAUUUAGUGAGGGUUAUUGUGGUUAGAGUCUGGUGGGA
rnacentral:rRNA from 1 species